rnacentral:snRNA from 1 species
GUGCUCACUUUGGCAGCACAUAUACUAAAAUUGGAACAAUACAGAGGAGAUUAGCAUGGUCCCUGCACAAGGAUGACACGCAAAUUAGUGAAGCGUUCCAUAUUUUU